UCAAAAAUUACUCGUUCGCCCAUAUUUUCUAAAAUUAUACUUUCAUUUAUAUUUUGUUUUCGUUUCCUUUGUUUUCUCAGUCGGAGGAACUUUAUGAAGUAAAAUUUUCUCUAGGUUUACCUAUGAUUUUGUUUUUUUUCACCUGGAAGGAGUUUUGAGAUUCAAGAUCUGGUUUCACGUUUUUUUCUCCUUUUCAAGCCAUCGUUUUCCAAGAAAAACUGAGACAUGAGUGAAACUGUGAGAUGAGUAAGAUCGAGAACAACAGAGAUAAAUCAGAUGGAAUGGAAUUUGAAUUAGGGUUUGGUUUGAAUCAAUCGCUGAGCAACUGAUGAAUUUGGGAGGUCUAAGAUGGUGAUGAACACAUGAUGAAAUAGAGAUGGAAGAUGAGAUUUUGUUGCUGUGUUGUUGAUUUAGAAGACAUGGAUUUAGAGCAGAUUCGCAGAUGGAUGAGUUACUGCUAUGAAGAAGGUUAUGUGGAUUGUAUGGAAGAUUCGAGUUGGAUUUGUGGCUGAUUGUGAAAGAAUUACGGCUUCAGUUGUUUCCCCAAAUCAGAAUUGGGGUUUGUUGAAUGAAGAAAUUCAGGGUAAGAAGUGAGAUGGUGAUGUUGGUGGUCUGUUGAGAUCAAGAAGAACAAAUGGAGAUGGAAUUGAUGCCUGCAGUGAGGUCGUAAACCAGUUGAAGGUUGGAGAGCUUCGAGUCCUUGAAGAUCAUUACAUGUUUUUUGGUCGGACCUCAUUGUGCCCAACUCUUCUUCUAUUUCAUUCCAAAAUAGUGCCAAUUCACGAAGAUUUUUUUUUUCCUUUCAAAUAAGCUCUCUCAGCAUCUGUUGGGACUUGCAAUUUCUGAAGACGAUGUAUCCAUAAUAUCUUAAGGAAGUUCAGGAUGCUGACAGUCCAGCAGAUUCACAUACUCAAGGUUGUGGAGAUUACUGCAGCCCUUUGGUAAUGUCGUGAUACCAAUACCCCUUAGGUCAAGGGAUCUUAGUUGUGUUAAUGCUCCAAAAUCUUUGUUGCGAUGGAGGAAUUGGUGGUGCUGUUAAUGGGGCUGAGUUUUUGUCACUUACAAGUAUGAGGUGAUGUUGUUAGUGUUGCAGUCAAGCAUGGAAGAAUGCCUGAAUUACAUUAGAUGUAUGCGUAGGAUUGUUACAGGGAAAUGAAGCGAAGAAAAAUGGCCUGAAAUAUGGCUAGAAUCAUCCAGAAACAGAGGAAACUCUGCUAAAAUCGUCUCUCUGACGAGUUGACUCGUUACCGCCGAUAUCCGAGUGCGGGAGAUUGUGAAGAGUUAUUGGCUCGAGUUGAUAAGAACUUCAAGUGGUAUUUGGCUUGAAUCUGUAGCUGACGAGAAUGUUGCAGUCGAAGUUAGCCGUGAACCGACUAAUUAUAUACAGAUUUUGAGGGUUCUUGUAUAUUUCGAGAUUAGGUUUUAAUGACAUUUCUCGAUUUUAAUAUAUAUACAGCAACACAUCAA